UAGGUGCCACACCAAGGAAAUUUGGCCUGUGAACUCCCAAAGGAGGUAGCAACUAAUUCUGCGCCCCACGCCCUCCCACAUCCCUCUCCCUCUCUGCGAUCAGCGAACGCUUUUUGCUUUUGGCUCUGAAUUUCGAAGGAAGGGUAUUCCAGGUAGAAGGGACAAGCCCAAAGGUCUUAAGAUAGUAAAUGCUCCUUCAGAGGUGGCUCAUGCUUGACACUUUGGGGCAUUUGCCCACUUAGGGUUGUGGUAGUUGUGUCCUGAGACAGACCCCAUGCUUUUCAUAGCUGGAGCAUUCUCAAUACCAGUGUCGGAGGUGACGCAGCUGAGGCCCUGCUAAGUAGAAAUGAGAAUCCAGAGGCUCAUCGCCGGGCUGUCUCUCAGUCAGUAAGAACACCAAGGAGAGAGGGGAGAUGCAGGGAGUCAGGGCUGGGGGCGCUAGCGGGAAAGGGAGCGUUGAGCGCCUGCAGAGGCCGCUGCGAGCCCGGAACCCUCCUUGGGGAGUCCCGGCAGCGGCAGACGAUCCAGGCCGGAGCCAUGCGCAGACACAAGGCAUGCUGGGAACUGCGAGCCAGCCGCGGGUCUUCGGGCUUCGUGGGCCUGGGAGGCGCCGGGAAAAGCAGUCGCGACGGGGUUAGGGACGAGACACCGCAUUCACUGGAAGGGACAACCCGGCGCCAGUACAUAGCCUGAAACGCUCCCCAGAGAGUCCCACGCUUGCUGCGCCGUCCCCAACUGGAUCCAGCACUCGCCCGCCCGCGGUGUCUUGGCAAGCGCUAGGCUUGUCGGGAAGAGCGGAAGGGCGCAAGCGCGGCGCUGGCCGGAAGUGCCGAGCUGUCAGUGCAGGGCUCGCCGGGAAAUGUGGUUCCUCCAGGCGGCCCGGGGCGGUGGCCGCAAGUUCUGCGGACAGCGCGGCCGAUCAGGCGUGGACCCGGGAUGGCUGGACCGGGCAGCACCGGGGGCCAGAUUGGGCCCGGGGCCCUGGCAGGCGGCGCGCGGUCCAAGGUAGCCCCGAGCGUGGACUUCGAUCACAGCUGCUCGGACAGUGUCGAGUACCUGACGCUCAACUUCGGGCCCUUCGAAACAGUGCAUCGCUGGCGGCGCCUCCCGCCCUGCGACGAGUUCGUGGGUGCCCGGCGCAGCAAGCACACAGUGGUGGCCUAUAAAGAUGCCAUUUAUGUAUUUGGUGGAGACAAUGGGAAGACCAUGCUCAAUGACCUCCUGCGGUUCGAUGUGAAAGACUGCUCCUGGUGCAGGGCCUUUACCACUGGGACCCCGCCGGCCCCCCGUUACCACCACUCGGCCGUCGUCUAUGGGAGCAGCAUGUUUGUCUUUGGGGGUUACACUGGGGACAUUUAUUCCAAUUCUAACUUGAAGAAUAAAAAUGACCUCUUUGAAUACAAGUUUGCAACUGGCCAGUGGACGGAGUGGAAAAUUGAAGGACGGUUGCCAGUCGCUAGGUCGGCCCACGGGGCCACGGUGUACAGUGACAAGCUGUGGAUCUUUGCUGGCUAUGACGGCAAUGCCAGGUUGAAUGACAUGUGGACAAUUGGCCUCCAGGACCGAGAGCUCACCUGCUGGGAGGAGGUGGCCCAGAGUGGCGAGAUCCCCCCGUCUUGCUGCAACUUCCCCGUGGCCGUGUGCCGGGACAAGAUGUUUGUGUUCUCCGGGCAAAGCGGAGCCAAGAUAACCAACAACCUCUUCCAGUUUGAAUUCAAGGACAAGACGUGGACACGCAUCCCAACUGAACACCUGCUCCGGGGUUCCCCACCACCCCCGCAGCGGCGCUACGGGCAUACCAUGGUGGCCUUUGACCGCCACCUCUAUGUGUUUGGGGGUGCGGCCGAUAACACGCUGCCCAAUGAGCUGCACUGCUAUGACGUGGACUUCCAGACCUGGGAGGUCGUCCAGCCCAGCUCCGACAGCGAGGUCGGUGGGGCUGAAGUGCCCGAGCGAGCCUGUGCUUCUGAGGAGGUGCCCACCCUGCCCUUUGAGGAGCGAGGCGGCUUCAAGAAGUCCCGAGAUGUGUUCGGCCUGGACUUUGGCACCACCUCAGCCAAGCAGCCCGCCCAGCCCGCCUCGGAGCUGCCCAGCGGGAGGCUCUUCCACGCGGCUGCUGUCAUCUCGGACGCCAUGUACAUCUUCGGGGGCACGGUGGACAACAACAUCCGCAGCGGGGAGAUGUACAGGUUCCAGUUCUCCUGUUAUCCUAAAUGCACGCUGCACGAGGACUACGGGCGGCUGUGGGAGAGCCGCCAGUUCUGCGAUGUGGAGUUCGUGCUGGGUGAGUGCAUUAUUCUUUGUGCAGAAGGAGGAGUGCGUGCAGGGCCAUGUAGCCAUUGUCACAGCGCGGAGCCGCUGGCUUCGCAGGAAGAUCACGCAGGCACGGGAGCGGCUGGCCCAGAAGCUGGAGCAGGAGGCCGCCUCAGUUCCCAGGGAGGCCCCCGGCGUGACUGCUGGUGGGACCCGGCCGCCCCUGCUGCACGUGGCCAUCCGGGAGGCCGAGGCCCGGCCCUUCGAGGUGCUCAUGCAGUUCCUUUACACCGACAAGAUCAAAUACCCACGGAAAGGCCACGUGGAGGAUGUGCUGCUCAUCAUGGAUGUGUACAAAUUGGCACUGAGCUUCCAGUUGUGCCGCCUGGAGCAGCUGUGCCGCCAGUACAUCGAGGCCUCCGUGGACCUGCAGAACGUGCUGGUCGUGUGCGAGAGUGCCGCCCGGCUGCAGCUGAGCCAACUCAAGGAGCACUGCCUGAACUUCGUGGUGAAGGAGUCCCACUUCAACCAGGUGAUCAUGAUGAAGGAGUUCGAGCGCCUCUCCUCGCCGCUGAUCGUGGAGAUUGUGCGGCGGAAGCAGCAGCCACCCCCUCGCACUCCCUCGGACCAGCCAGUGGACAUUGGCACAUCUCUGAUCCAGGACAUGAAGGCAUACCUGGAGGGGGCGGGCGCAGAGUUCUGUGACAUCACGCUGUUGCUGGAUGGGCACCCACGGCCAGCCCACAAGGCUAUCCUGGCCGCCCGCUCCAGCUACUUUGAAGCCAUGUUCCGGUCCUUCAUGCCCGAGGACGGGCAGGUGAACAUCUCCAUCGGGGAGAUGGUGCCCAGCAGGCAGGCCUUUGAGUCCAUGCUGCGCUACAUCUACUACGGCGAGGUCAACAUGCCGCCCGAGGACUCGCUCUACUUGUUUGCGGCCCCCUACUACUACGGCUUCUACAACAACCGGCUGCAGGCGUACUGCAAGCAGAACCUGGAGAUGAACGUGACGGUGCAGAACGUACUGCAGAUCCUGGAGGCAGCCGACAAAACGCAGGCGCUGGACAUGAAGCGGCACUGCCUGCACAUCAUCGUGCACCAGUUCACCAAGGUCUCCAAGCUGCCCACGCUGCGGUCGCUGAGCCAACAGCUGCUGCUGGACAUCAUAGACUCCCUGGCCUCCCACAUCUCAGACAAGCAGUGUGCAGAGCUGGGCGCCGACAUCUGAGGCCCUGUGGCGCCUGCCCAUUGUGAAGAAUUGCCGUGCCUGCCUGCCCUGCCCACUGAGAAGACUACUGGCUAUGCGCCUGCCUAUGGCAGAGUGGGUGCACCUGCCAGGCCGAGGGUCGGGGUGCCCAGAGCCUCCAAAGAGAGCUGAGGGGAUAUGGGGCCCCAAUCUCAAUUCACUGAAGACACAGGUCCCACAGAGAACAGACGAUAGCAGAUGAUGAAGCAGACCCCCUCCCCUGUCAUCACCCUCUCCUGAUGUGGUGUGGAUGUGAGGCCACGGCUCAGUAAUGGGCUCACCACCCGGAAGUGGGGAGAGACCUUGGGUCUCCCACCCAGUGGUGCUUGGCCUGGCUCCUAUGGCCUAGGUGUUUUGUAGACCCACGCACUGGGGCCUGUCACCAAGGCUCCUCCAACAUGUGGGAGGAGGCUUAGCAGACUUGCGCUGCACCAUGGAAUCUGCCUGGGCUGCUCCUGUCCCGCCCACCCUCACUGAGAUCCAUGUAAGGGGCUCCUUUUCCCACCCGGAACUUGUGAGUGUGGACCCAUGAUGUGUGGGUCUCACCUGACUUAAGGUGAAUUUUGGAGUAAGGGCCCUGAGGUCAGCUCCCAGGUCGGUCAUGCUGGGCCAGGCCUGGUUUUCACAGGUGCUGAAGGAUCCCAGUCCACCUGUGUGCAUGUCAGGGCUCAGCCGGGACGAAGCCAGCCAAGUCCCGCAUGUCCCUUGCUGAGUAUUCUGUCACAGACAAGCCUCCAUUAAAGCCACAGCAGUGCUACCUACCACAUACACCUUGCUGGCCCAGCCACCACUGCUGGCCUCAGCCCCUCGGCCCUCCUGCAGCCGAGGACUGGCUCUGGAGCCCAUGGCUUAGCAGAUCCCCAGAUGUAGGUCAGUUGGUCUUACCUGUCUCUAUCCAUGCUGUCAACUGCCCCCACCUGGGGAUCUGCUAAGCCACCCAGUCACACUAGGGAGAAGGGCUAUGAAGGAAUCCAGGCUGGCCCCUCCCAGGGGAAUCCUGGAGGCCUGGGGUGGGCUCCUGCCCCUUCUGCCCUGCCUUGCCCCUGCACUGUGGUCUUGGCUCCUGUGGAAGGCAGGCUGCCCUCUCGCCCUAGUGAGGGCCCCAUGUGAAUCCACUCUGAUGCUGGGGAACCAGUGCUCCCUUAUUGGGAAGAGGAUUCCAGGACCCCUUUUUUGUCGUGGCUGCCAUGAAGCCACAACUCACCUUAGGGAAGUGACCUGCUCUCCUCUGGCUGUAUGCAGGUGGAAGGGGGCCUUGAGUGGCAAGUUGCUUAGCUAACAGGAACAGAUCCAUAGGCAGCCUGCAGGCUAGGAAGUAGCCUGGUGCAAGAUGAGCUGGGAACAAGGGAGGAGCGAGCGGGAGCUAGGGCAGAGGCUGAGCCAGGAGGCCCAUGCAGUGAUGACACAGCAGGCCCAGGACCAUGGCUAGGAGGUAUAUGUCAGCACCUGGAAGUGGAGUGCAGGCUGGGGCAGCCAGCCAUGUGGGCCAGGUGCAUUCACGCAGAGUGGGGCCACAGAGCCACCUACCCAGUUUCCACAUGUGGCUCCUGCCACACCCACAGGGCAGCCUCCUCCAAAUCCCUCUCCUGGACAGGUCAGCCCAGAAGCCUCCUUGAACUAGUCUGCAAACCCUGCUCUAUGCUGACCCUUGUCGCUAAACCCUCAACUGUCUCUUCUUGACUUAUAUGAAUAAAUGAAAUUAUAUGCCAAGGGCCCUAAAAAGCAAA